rnacentral:lncRNA from 1 species
UGAAUCCGUGGAAGAAAUUGGUACCCAGGAAGAGUCUUCGAAUGGUGGUGAAGAAUUAAUUAGAGAAACAGAGGGAACUGUUGAAGGAAUUAGUUCAUCUGAAGAGAAUUUUGUUAGUGAAACCACUGAGAUUGAACUAGCUAAAGAGGAUGAAGAAGGGAUUGAGGAUUUGGUGUGUGAUAAAGAGAAUGGAGGAGGUUUCUUCUUGGAGGGGUCAUCAUCAUCAUCUGAUGAUGAUGAUUGGGAGGGUAUUGAACGAACCGAAUUGGAGAAAGAUUUUGGUGCAGCGGUG